GGAAGGAUCAUUACAGAGUUCCUGCCCUCACGGGUAGAAACCCCACCCUUGUGUAUAUUAUAUUGUUGCUUUAGCAGGUCGCCCUCUGGGCGUCGGCCUCGGCUGACUGUGCCUGCUAGAGGACCCUAAAUUUUGAAAUACAGUGUCGUCUGAGUACUAUUUAAUAGUUAAAACUUUCAACAACGGAUCUCUUGGUUCUGGCAUCGAUGAAGAACGCAGCGAAAUGCGAUAAGUAAUGUGAAUUGCAGAAUUCAGUGAAUCAUCGAAUCUUUGAACGCACAUUGCGCCCCUUGGUAUUCCGGGGGGCAUGCCUGUUCGAGCGUCAUUUAGACCAACUCCCGCUCCGGCGGGGUCUUGGGCUGCGCCUUUGGGCGGGCCUUAAAACCAGUGGCGGUGCCCUAAGGCUCUACGCGUAGUAAUUCUUCUCGCGAUAGGGUCCUUGCGGUGUCUUGCCAGCAACCCCCAACUCUCUAGGGUUGACCUCGGAUCAGGUAGGGAUACCCGCUGAACUUAAGCAUAUCAA
rnacentral:rRNA from 1 species